rnacentral:rRNA from 1 species
UCCAAGAGUACGUGAAACCGUUUAGGGGUAAACCUGAGAAACCCGAAAGUUCGAAUGGGGAGACUCAUCGUCAACGGGGUUGGCUUCCAUGUGGUUCGCGAUGGUUGCGGAUGGUGCCUCGUGCAUUAUUUCAACGCCACGCGUCCGCUGCGAUGUUACCGAUCUCGUCGGCGUGCACUUCUCCUCUAGUAGAACGUCGCGACCCGCUGAGUGUCGGUUUAAGGGCCGAGAUCGUCGACUGUUGUCGCGUUUUUAACGCAAUAGCAGACGCUUGGUUCCCGACCGACUGCUCGGCGGUAUUGAAAUGGUAUCGAGCCGCACGUUGAAUGCGUUUCAGACUCGUCGCAAGCUCGAACAUGUAUCCCGGACGUGCGGACACGCGCCGUCGCUGGGGAUGUUCGGCUGUUGGCUGGCGAUGCUCUCGAACAGGCUUUACGAUACCGGUCGGCGACGCUAUUGCUUUGGGUACUUUCAGGACCCGUCUUGAAACACGGACCAAGGAGUCUAACAUGUACGCGAGUCAUUGGGAUAUUGAAACCUAAAGGCGUAUUGAAAGAGAAGGUCGACAUUGCGUCGAACGAGGGAAGAUGGGCGACGUUCAGGCGUCGCUCCGCACUCCCGGGGUGUCUCGUAGUCAUUGCGACUUGAGGCGCACCCAGAGCGUACACGUUGGGACCCGAAAGAUGGUGAACUAUGCCUGGUCAGGAUGAAGUCAGGGGAAACCCUGAUGGAGGUCCGUAGCGUAUCUGACGUGCAAAUCGAUCGUCUGAACUGGGUAUAGGGGCGAAAGACUAAUCGAACCAUCUAGUAGCUG